rnacentral:lncRNA from 1 species
GCCCUGCAUCCUACAUCAUGCUCUCAUGUCCAAAAACAACAGUACAGUAACACCACUAUGUCCUAUUAAUGUCCUUAAAGGUUUGUACAGAGAGUCUUGUGGUGGUUUUUAAUCCGAAGUAUUUGGGAGAGGCGACUUCGCUCUACUACGUCAUUGUUGGAACGCGCUCAGUUUCCGGGUGUGGAAACCUGCAGCCAGGCUCGUGCCAUUGCAUUGCUUCGGUUCUCACGGAUUUUAGUGGUGGUCUACGCAUUCCUACGCUUCUGUGUCAGGAGCUGACACGUUGUAACGCUGCUGCCCAGCAUUGCGUCAUAUUGACGCGGCGCGCGCACGCGACACUGGCGAAGCGAGAUUGAUUGCCAGCGAUUGGACCCUCGUCGCAAUAGCCCCUUCACUAUACAAAAGGAAAUAUGGUUCCUACAGCAGGUGCCCAUCUGACCUAAAAUAAAGGUACACGGUGACAUGUGAGGUUGUCA